CCCUAUUAUAUAUUAAGGAUAAGUGCUAAUUUUCAUUUGUUUUCAGGUUUGUUGCAUAUGCAUUGUAUCCCAUGCCACAGCUGUUCUUGAAUCUAACUCAGAUCACCAGCAGCCCAGUCAUGGCUGCCUGGGAGUGAUAUAAGUUUUGGUCCAGUAGCAUGUCUAAGUCUGUUUGUUAUGUGAAGCUAAAGUCAUAGCUGCUUCCCUGGGAGAGAAAGGAGGUGUGACAUGAUGAGCCAGUGACAUACAUUAUGCUCUCCUGGAACAUGUUGCCAGGUAUGGCUAACUGGAGCUGGGAGACAUGUAAACCAUAACAGCUGGAGAGCCAC